UCUCUUUUCCAUAGUUCUUUUGCAGACGGUACUUUUAGUGAGUGCUUGUGUGUGAAGGUUUUCGAUCAUGGUGGUUGUGCAUGUUUUCUUUCUUCGGUGAAGGUUAUCCAUUACUUUCUUCUUCGUCUUUGGUUAUUCAUUCUUUUCGUUAAAGAAGCACAAACCGUAGGUGAAGGAAAAAGGAGAUUUUUGGUACGGCGGCAAGGAUCAUGAAGAAGGUCCAAUUCCAGGCAGGAAAAAUACAUGAAGCCAAACUAAUCUUUGAUGAAAUGAAGAAAAACCAUGUCAGAUAAGAUGGCUAUGCUCAUAGUAUCAUGAUAUCAGCAUUAUGUCGAGCCAAUCUUUUUCGGAAAGAAAAACAGUUAAGCAAGGAUUUUGAAACCACCUCUAAUAAAUAUGAUCUAGUUAUGCUGAACUCAAUGUUGUGUGAUUUCUUUAGAGUAGGUGAAAUGGAAAGUGUAAUGGAAACUCUAAAAAAGUGGAUGAACUGGAAACCAAUCCUAACUACAAUACCUUUCAUAUUCUAUUAAAAUAUUUCUGCAGAGAAAAAAUGUAUCUAUUAGCUUAUCAAACCAUGAAGGACAUGCAUGGUAAAGGCCAUCAACCAGGAGAGGUAUAGCGUCUUAU